CCGUUGGUGAACCAGCGGAGGGAUCAUUACAGAGUUGCAAAACUCCCAAACCAUUGUGAACGUUACCUAUCCCGUUGCUUCGGCGGGCGGCCCGGGCCCCGCGCCCGGCGCCCCCCGGCCCCCCGUGGGCGCCCGCCGGAGGUAAACCAAACCCUUGAAUUGCAUGGCCUCUCUGAGUCCUCUGUACUGAAUAAGUCAAAACUUUCAACAACGGAUCUCUUGGUUCUG
rnacentral:misc_RNA from 1 species